UACGUAGGGCGCAAGCGUUGUCCGGAAUUAUUGGGCGUAAAGAGCUCGUAGGCGGUUUGUCGCGUCUGCUGUGAAAACCUAAGGCUCAACCUUGGGCUUGCAGUGGGGUACGGGCAGACUAGAGUGCGGUAGGGGUGACUGGAAUUCCUGGUGUAGCGGUGGAAUGCGCCAGGAUAUCAGGAGGAACACCGAGUGGCGAAAGGCAGGUCAC
rnacentral:rRNA from 1 species